CUCCCUGUAGCUCAGUUGGUAGAGCAUGGUGUUUGCAACGCCAGGGUUGUGGGUUUGAUUCCCACGGGGGGCA
rnacentral:tRNA from 1 species